UACUCCUACGGGAGGCAGCAGAGGAGGAUCAUUCGCAAUGGGCGAAAGCCUGACGGUGCGACGCCGCGUGAGGGAUGAAGGCCUUCGGGUUGUAAACCUCUGUCAGGAGUUAUGAACGGCGGGGACAUUAAUACCGUCUCCGCGUGACCAAGGCUCCAAAGGAAGCCACGGCUAACUACGUGCCAGCAGCCGCGGUAAUACGUAGGUGGCAAGCGUUACUYGGAAUCACUGGGCAUAAAGGGCGUGUAGGCGGAUGCGUAAKUCCGGUGUAAAAGCCCCCGGCUCAACCGGGGAAAGCCAUCGGAGACUGCGUGUCUGGAGUGCGGGAGGGGAGAGUGGAACUCUUGGUGGAGCGGUGAAAUGCGUAGAUAUCAAGAGGAACGCCGGUGGCGAAAGCGGCUCUCUGGCCCGUUACUGACGCUGAGGCGCGAAAGCUAGGGGAGCAAACGGGAUUAGAUACCCCGGUAGUCCUAGCCCUAAACGAUGAACACUGGGUGUAGCCCUUCACGGGGCUGUGCCGAAGCUAACGCAUUAAGUGUUCCGCCWGGGGAGUACGGUCGCAAGGCUGAAACUYMAAGGAAUURACGG
rnacentral:rRNA from 1 species